UACGUAGGGGGCCAGCGUUGUCCGAAGUUACUGGGCGUAAAGGGUGCGUAGGCGGCCCUGUAAGUAUGGUGUGAAAUCUCCCGGCUUAACUGGGAGGGUGCGCUAUAGACUGCGGGGCUCGAGUGUGGGAGAGGAAAGUGGAAUUCCUGGUGUAGCGGUGAAAUGCGUAGAUAUCAGGAGGAACACCGGUGGUGUAAACGGCUUUCUGGACCAUAACUGACGCUGAGGCACGAAAGCGUGGGUAGCAAACAGG
rnacentral:rRNA from 1 species